CCCCCCCGUCUGCCACAACCCGACCAAGCGCCGCCCUGGCAGCAUAUAUAUGAGCAGCUGCCAGUCUCACAUGGAGGUCAGACAUCGAUCCACUCUGAGACAAGACAGCGAUCACAGGUGCCGGUUUUAUCUACGAUUUUACAGAAGUAAGAAGGAAGCAGCUUUACGAGCCACUGGAACCGGAUUAGAGAUGAAGGUUUUGACAACCGCCCUCCUCUUUGUUCUUUUGUCUACAAUUGCAUCCACUAAGCCGGUGAGCUAACCAGAAAGUUGAAUCUCCCCUCCUCCUCCUCCUCCUCCUCCUCCUCGUCCCUCACCGCUCUCUUUCUCAUACUGACUGACUCGGAUUCCUCACUGUGUUUUGCUGCAGUCAAACUGUAGUAUUUUAUCAAGAUGAAUAUUCACAGACUGGUCUCUUUAUAUUGCAGUUAAGUGUUACAUACUGAGACAAUUCCCCUGCGUAUGCUAGAGGACAAACAACAUUCACAUCCGGCCUUGCUUAUACCAUAAAGAACACGUGACCUCUGCAGAGCCAUCACAUAUACAUCCGUUUUCUACUGUUUUUAUGCGUGGGCCUCAGAGUGUAAUAUCUCAUUCAUUGGACAUUUACUCCACAGAUUGGGCCGGCGUCGACAUCAUGGUACCAACAUUGCUGGCAAAGACUCGACACGGGGACGGCCAAGCCGGCAUUGGUUUUCUUGGCGGCCUCGUGACUCGUCAUCGGAGUCCAAUCAGUCCUCGGACUCUUCCUCCGAAUCCAGCGAAUCCUCAGAGAGUCGGUCUUCAGAGGAGUCUGCCGAGGUCACUACACCAGAUGGGAGCACGUUCACUUCUGAACCAGACACAACGAUUUCAGACGAGCCAACUGUGGAUGCGUCAACGCCCCCGGCAGCAACACGGGCCACGGCCGUUCCCGGGACGUCACCAGGAUGCGUGACUCUGGAUUUUACCGAGGGCUUUACCACAAAUGUUCCCGUCACAGAAAACCGAGGAGACAACUAACCAACCACGUCCCCGCUGCAGACGCAUCGCUGCAUCCCAUCAACAAGUUGUUGCGUUUGCAGGGUGGCGACACAAGCGGGAGAAAAUCCCACCUGCAACUAUCGCUUAUCACCAUAGAUGUUUCCUCAUGAAAGGUCAACAUAAGAGGCAGCGAGGCUAGUGUGAAAAAAGAGGGCUCGCUACUAUAAGUCAAAAUAGCUGCCUGAUUCUGAAAAAGAAUUGCUCAAUUUAAGAAAAGUGUAGCGGUAACUUUACAUUAACAAAUCUGUGGCUCGGGCACGUUUACCGUAGAAAGGAGGUAUGAUACUUUGGGGCAUUUACUUUUGGUGACCUUGUUACAACAAGCACAUUUACAUAUUCAACAACAACAAAAACAGUUUCCCUUCUGCAUGAAGCAGCCUGCAUCUUUGUUGGCCUGGAUCUACAGGAUCUGCAAGAGUGUGUGUUUUAUAUAACAGUCAUGUUUGUUUCUUCUUAAGGAAAAUAAAGGAAUCUAAAUUACGUUAUAAAAUAAGUGUCAUAUUUUGUCAAAUCAUUAACUUUCCAUCAGCAGAUUUUAUGUUUAGGUUAUAAUUUAUGGUACUACGAUUAAACAUUCGCGAGGAGCGAGGAGUAGAGCCGCUGCUCCUUUGAGUCGAAAGGAGCCAGUUGAGGUGGUUUGGGCAUCUGGUGAGGAUGCCACCCGGGCGCUUCCCUAGGGAGGUGUUCCAGGCACGGCCAGCUGGGAAGAGGCCCCGGGGAAGACCCAGGACUAGGUGGAGAGAUUAUAUCUCUGCACUGGCCUGCAUGGGAACGCCUUGGGAUCCCCCAGUCAGAGCUGGUAGAUGUGGCCCGGGAAAGGGAAGCUUGGGGUCCCCUGCUGGAGCUGUUGCCCGCGCAACCCGACCCCGGAUAAGCGGUUGAAGAUGGAUGGACGAUUAAACAUUGUUGAUCUUAAAGUAGUGUAGACAGCUCAAGUUACUGCACUGAUGGAAAGGAUUCAGCUGAUUGCAAGCUGCCACCAAAUCCUCCACGCGGUCCCUUAAAGGCCACAACACAAGCAGUGACUGAAAUAAUCAUGUGAAAGACAAAUAUGUCACCAGGGGGACAUUGUGGUUUCUGUAAAUUAUUGGUUUGUUAUACUUUAGCGUGGUUUGGUUUUGCAUUUGCACAUGCAGAAGGAGAAGCCACAGGAGAGCAGAAGCCACAGUGAAAUCAAGCGAGAGGACGGCAAGACAGCGGACGAGCAGACGGGGUGCAAACGAAGAGAGGAACGAGACGGACUGGACACCUCACUCAGGAAAGGAACGGAACCAGAAACUAGAAGAAAGGGCAGGACGGAUCAGCAGCAGUGGCUGGUCGAAUUCUUAAUCUUUUUUUAGCACUUUGUUCCAGCUGGACUUUUAAUACAAUUGUAGUUAUUUAUGGGUUUUUAGUUAAUAAUAAAAUCCUCCUUUUAAACCAC
ensembl:lncRNA